rnacentral:rRNA from 1 species
UAGGGAAUCUUCCGCAAUGGGCGAAAGCCUGACGGAGCAACGCCGCGUGAGUGAUGAAGGUCUUCGGAUCGUAAAACUCUGUUAUUAGGGAAGAACAAAUGUGUAAGUAACUAUGCACAUCUUGACGGUACCUAAUCAGAAAGCCACGGCUAACUACGUGCCAGCAGCCGCGGUAAUACGUAGGUGGCAAGCGUUAUCCGGAAUUAUUGGGCGUAAAGCGCGCGUAGGCGGUCAAUUAAGUCUGAUGUGAAAGCCCCCGGCUCAACCGGGGAGGGUCAUUGGCAACUGUUUCACUUGAGUGCAGAAGGGGAGAGUGGAAUUCCAUGUGUAGCGGUGAAAUGCGUAGAUAUAUGGAGGAACACCGGUGUCGAAAGCGGCUCUCUGGUCUGUAACUGACGCUGAGGCUCGAAAGCGUGGGGAGCGAACAGG